rnacentral:lncRNA from 1 species
UUAUUUGCCGCCUUCUCAGCAUACAUACCAGCAGUUUCUGUUACUUUGUUUAAGGGCUUUGUGAAAGUUUCAUCAGCCUCACAACAUGUCUUGACAGAUCCACCAAGAACAUGAGCUCAGGAUUUUAGGAACGGCACCGGAAGUGGAGCAGUUGUCAGAGGGUGAUUGAGAAACAUGGGAGUCGGAAUGUGGGCGGCUCUAGAAAGGUGCUUUUAGUUCAAUGUGACAAAUCGACCUGCAAGUUUCUAGUCAGUUGUGAGAAAGUCAAGGUGCUGCGAAGAGUUUCACGUGUUCUGAUUGACUACUGAAAGAAACAGAGUAUACCGGACGAGAGAAAUUCAUUAUCAAUGAACCUAUAUAGGAAUUUUGGGAAUCUUCUGGAGAGUUGGGUGACCGAAGGCCACCAGGAUUUAUACUUACAGACAGGACCUGGUGUGGACAGAUUAGAUUCAAUUUCUAGGGACUCUGUCCCACUAUCCAAUGUAAAAUCAGAAUCCGAGGACUCUGGAUUUGAGACGGUUAGUACAACUAGUCCUUGUCAUUCUCACCAGUGUAGUGCUUUGACAUCUGAAGAAUCACAGCCAGUUUUUGGCUCUACAGAGGAUGAGGUUCAACCUUCAUCCCCGUCUCCUUCUAUUUGCUCAUCCUCAAGUGUCUCUCUCAGCUCUGUGGCUCUAAAAACAACAUGUCUGGAGGUGGAGCAAGCCUUGAGAAGGACAGAUUCAGGCUCAUGGAGAGGACCCCUGCACCAGAUUGAAAGAGGGACCGCUGGGCCACGGUAUCGCUCUAACACGGCCUCUUUUCCAACCAGCUUUCACUCAAACAGCUCCAGACCACAUCAUCGGUUUGCUCAUCCAAGGAGAACUCAUUCACAACCUCCAGAUCCCAAGAAAGCCGAGCUGUACAGAAAAUGCCACCAACAGGGCCAACCAGUAGACAGCCAGUUGGAGCUUGCGGACAGUGAUCAAUACAGGCUGGACAAACUGUCUCCAGGGUUGCUGUACCUGGAGCAGGUGUGCAGGAUGCUGGAGAACAUUGCAAAGCUACAGCAGCAAAACUACAGCCUGCAGAAAGAGGUGGAGAUCCUGAAGAGUCAGCAUGCUGAAAUAGAGCUUGGAAGCUUGCAUGAGGAGGAAAUAAGCUAUCCUGCCAGUCAAGGUUUACAGAUUCUGGGUCAUCCACCUAGCGAAUCGACUCACCUAAAAGAACCCAUGGGAUUUCGUCACAGAUCAGUAUCUGACACUCAGGCAGCCGUCGGCCAUUACAGGAGAACAAGGUUUGUUCAAGACAAACCUAUUGCAGAUGCCUUAGUCGAGGAACCUGAUGGUAAAGAUUCUUUACCCGAAAAUGAGCACAAAAAGCCGAGUAAGAUCCAAAAGCUGAAAUUUGCAUCAUUUAGAAGGCAGGAAACACAACAGUCUGACAGAGAAAGCAAAAGCUUUCAGCCUAAGAAGAAAACAAGCUUUUUCAGUAGGAGUAGAAGUAUGACUACACGUCUCUAACAUUCAUGCCACAUUGAUGCCCAGUGAUGGUGGCUCACACCUCCCAUUUACCUGAGGAUUAUGGCACUUUUAUAUGUAUAGCUUGUUUUAGUCAAGUAUUUAAGGCUGCACUUAAAUAAAGUACUGAGUAGUACUAAUAGUCUUCAUGUACUUAAUGGAUACUUGUUUUUUUGGAACUGUCAGUUCACUUUGUUUUUGUUAAUCCUAUUGUUUAUAAAUUUACAAUGCAAAAUGCUGCCAAUGCGUAGUUUUCAUCGCUAGAUCCAUUCAUUGUAUUUUAGUUAUUUUCUCAUCUAUCAUGAUCUCAGUCUGUAAACUUUUGCUGCUAAAAGAAUUUGUUAUUUUGUAAUACUAAGGUGAUUUCAUAACAAUUGUUUAAUAUAAUAAAAUAUACAAUAAACCACUCUGCUUGCAAGAUUACAUACUCAUACAAGUUUACAUUCCCUUAGCAGAAUCUGAUGUUUUGCAUUUUUAAAAAGAGAGAUGGAUUUUAAUAUACUGUACUCCACAGUACAAAAUAAUAACUGACUUUAUCUAUAGUAUGCACAAUAUAAAUUUAUUCACAACUAUCAGAAAAGGCUACAAACAGUAACUGAUGCUUGAUGAGGCAACACAUGAUAUUAAGAACCAAGAAUAUGUACAUUUUGAACAGGGUAAUUUGUGUAAAUUCAG